UCUCAUCAACUAGUGCGUACGGUAUGC
rnacentral:sRNA from 1 species